GGGCAACCCUUAGUAGAGCGGCGCACGGGUGCGUAACACGUGGAUAAUCUGCCUGGAUGCCUGGGAUAACCAGUCGAAAGAUUGGCUAAUACCGGAUAAGCCCACGGUUUCUUCGGAGACUGAGGGAAAAGGUGGCCUCUGUAUACAAGCUAUCACAACCAGAUGAGUCCGCGGCCCAUCAGCUAGUUGGCGGGGUAAUGGCCCACCAAGGCGACGACGGGUAGCUGGUCUGAGAGGACGAUCAGCCACACUGGAACUGAGACACGGUCCAGACUCCUACGGGAGGCAGCAGUGGGGAAUUUUGCGCAAUGGGCGAAAGCCUGACGCAGCAACGCCGCGUGUGUGAUGAAGGUCUUUGGAUUGUAAAGCACUUUCGACCGGGACGAAACCGUAAAGCCUAAUACGCUUUGCCUUGACGGUACCGGGAGAAGAAGCACCGGCUAACUCUGUGCCAGCAGCCGCGGUAAUACAGAGGGUGCAAGCGUUGUUCGGAAUUAUUGGGCGUAAAGCGCGUGUAGGCGGCUUUGCAAGUCGGGUGUGAAAGCCCUCAGCUCAACUGAGGAAGUGCGCCCGAAACUGCAGAGCUUGAGUGCCGGAGAGGGUGGCGGAAUUCCCCAAGUAGAGGUGAAAUUCGUAGAUAUGGGGAGGAACACCGGUGGCGAAGGCGGCCACCUGGACGGUAACUGACGCUGAGACGCGAAAGCGUGGGUAGCAAACAGGAUUAGAUACCCUGGUAGUCCACGCCGUAAACGAUGAGAACUAGGUGUCGUGGGAGUUGACCCCCGCGGUGCCGUAGCUAA
rnacentral:rRNA from 1 species